AGACUGUAAGAAUGGGGGACUAGUGUUCAAUGUGGCUAAAAAACUAGGUUGGGAUUAUGUUGUAUAGGACUUUGAAAGGUAAAUAAGCAAAUUUAGAUUUAAUCUUACAGGCGAAAAGGAAUCACCGAAGUUGAUUGAGCAGGCAAAUGACAGUAAUCUGCAUUUAAGGAAAGUAACUUUGGUAAUAGUGUGUAGAAUGAUCUGGACGAGUGAGAUACCUGAAGUGGGGAGACCAACCCAGAGGAGAUUGCAAAGGAGAGGUGGAAAUCAAGUAGAAAGAAGACAUGAGAGAUUGGGUAGAAAUGGCAAUAUGGUAAGAUAUCACUUCCUUAAAAAGAACACCUACAUGGCUCUACAAUGUCAUCAAUUCAAGCUUGUGCAACUCCUGACUUUCUCCUUCCAAAAGUUUACUUCGGAUGUCCACUCAAAUGCUGGAGGCUUUUCUCCCUUUCUGCUGCAAUCACAAGAGUACCAGUAGAGCACUGUGGCUGUUCAUCCAUCAUCUCUUGCUAUCAUCAUAAGACCAGCCCAUCUUCUUUCUGGAAUAUAAUCUUUGAUGACAUCUUUUUUAAAAAAUUAUUCCUUAUUGAUUGUAGUCUACUCACUCACACCCACCAUAUGCCUUUCCAUUGCCCUCUGAGGGAUAGUCACGUUUAGUUUUUCAGAGGCAAUGGUGUCCUAGGUCUCACACAACAACAAAGGCAAAUUGAAAAGAUGGACCUUUGCUGUUCCAUAUAACUUGGACUAGAAGUGAGAGAAGUUGGUCAGUAAGUGUUUUGCAGUUUCCCCAAAGCAUUCCAGCUUGUUCUCCUUUUCAAUCCUGGGCCCAGCUUAUUGUCCAUCUGUAUUGUCUGUCCCAGAUACACAUACAGACAAACUCUGCAGGAUGUCUCCUCUAAUGCAUGUUGAAAUAUGGACAAUGGAAAUUCUUUAUCCAUUUGAUCUUUUCUGUGUGGAUGGACAGGUCAACUCUCAAACUUUGAAUGAUCACAGAUCUUUUUCUGGAGGCUUAGGAAGAUCUUGGGGAUUGAUGCACAAUACAAUGUCAUCCACAAACAGGAGUAUCUGAAGGACCUUACCAACUGGGAAUCCCUCCUCAACAUGGACUCUAGAUUUGCAGUUUGGAGUGUUUUUUUUUUUUUUCCAAAAAAAUCAUGCAACGUGGUUAUAUUUGAAUAUUACUAAAUUAAAACCUUUCUUCUAUUAGUAGCUACUUUAGCUACCUGAAUUCUGGACAGUUAAAACUAAUUCAUGUUUCAGCAAAUUAUAUAGAUAUGCUCAACUCGAGCAUUCUAUACUGAUGGAAGAAUUGAGAAAAUACUCAGGGACAAGUGAGCCAAAGAUUGAAUUUGCAUUGUGAUAAAUAUUCACAUAUUUUUAGAGGAAAAGCUAAUUUGUUCUAGGGUCCAUACUAAC
rnacentral:lncRNA from 1 species